UACGGGGGGAGCAAGCGUUGUUCGGAUUUACUGGGCGUAAAGGGCGCGUAGGCGGCCAGCACAAGUCAGUUGUGAAAUCUCCGAGCUUAACUCGGAAAGGUCAACUGAUACUGUGCGGCUAGAGUGCAGAAGGGGCAACUGGAAUUCUUGGUGUAGCGGUGAAAUGCGUAGAUAUCAAGAGGAACACCGGCGGCGAGGGCGGGUUGCUGGGCUGACACUGACGCUGAGGCGCGAAAGCUAGGGGAGCGAACGGG
rnacentral:rRNA from 1 species